rnacentral:SRP_RNA from 1 species
UGCUCAGCGGGGCGUCUCCUUGUCCCCGUACUCGGACUCCGCGUUGGCAGGGUUGCAGACCAUCCGGUUGGCCCAGUGCCAGAUGAACUGCAGCAGGGUGCU